ensembl:misc_RNA Y_RNA Y RNA
AGCAAGAUCCCUGGCGGUGAUGUUUACAACUAACUGAUCACAACCAGUUACAGAUUCAUUUGUUCCUUCACUCCCACUGCCUCACUUGACUAGCCUAAA